CCCUUAGAUGUUCUGGGCCGCACGCGCGCUACACUGACGAAUGCAACGAGCUUAUAACCUUGGCCGAAAGGUCUGGGUAAUCUCCAAAUUUCGUCGUGAUGGGGAUAGAUUAUUGCAAUUAUUAAUCUUCAACGAGGAAUGCCUAGUAAGCGCAAGUCAUCAGCUUGCGUUGACUACGUCCCUGCCCUUUGUACACACCGCCCGUCGCUACUACCGAUUGAAUGAUUUAGUGAGGACUUCGGACUGGGACCGAUGCGGCUUUCGGGCUGCGUCGGUAUUCUGGAAAGAUGUCCAAACUGUAUCAUUUAGAGGAAGUAAAAGUCGUAACA
rnacentral:rRNA from 1 species